rnacentral:lncRNA from 1 species
UAAUAAUAAUAAUAAUAAUAAUGUUAAAUUUUUAUUUGUACCCCGCCCUCCCCGGUUGGAGCUGGGCUCAGAGUGGCUAUAAAUAAUACAAUAUCUAUAUGCUUUGAAUGCAGAAGGUCCAAAGUUCAAUCCCUGACAUCCCUAAGUAGGGCUGGGAAUGUCCCCUACCUGGAACCCUGGACCGUCACUGCCUUUCAGAGAGGACAAUACCAACCCAGAUGGACCAAUAAUCUCCCUUGGCAUGAGGCUCACUUCCAAUGGUACAUGUUCAAUCUCUGGCACCUCUAGUUAUACAGGUCUAGCAUCAGGCAAUGGGGAAAGACCCUUCUCUCCCUAAACCCUGGGACGCUGCUGCCAGUCUGAGUGGGCAGUAGUGGGCUUGAUGGAUCAUUAGUCUGCUUUGGUAUAGAGCAGCUUGUGAAGAGCUUUGCACUGGUGGGUUUGGCCAUGUUCUCCCCCUACCGCGCAAACUCAGAAGAAUCUGUUUCCCUUUCCUGCCCUGUCAUGCAGCCCGAAGCCUGACUUUGCACAGAGUUGUGUGAUUCAUUCCCUUGUUCCCCCUCCCUCCCUCCAUUCCCCCUUUCACCCAAAGCAACCCUAGGGCAGGCUGCAUCAGGCAGGGAGUGGCUACGUAACCCUUUCCUCUCGGGUCAUUUUGCAGCUCAAAAUUGACCCGCCCAAGCUGCUCCCCUUCCGACUAGUGAAGGGGCGACAGUGACUGUGGAUCUCCCAUCUUCCUCUCAAAUCCUUCCAACACCUGCUAGUAGGUUUAAAAAAAGCCGCUUUGGAAGUGUGGUUUUGAAGUGGUGGAAAUAAAAUAUGGGUCACAGGCAAAAAGAAAUAAGUGGCCUCUUCUGCAGCUUUCUCUAGUUCGGAUGCUUAUGCCCAGGUUUUUUUAAAAAACACAACCUAACCCAUGACACCACCAGGGGAGAGAACUGUGGAACUCCAUGCAGUAUGAGCCUCUGUUGAGUCUCCAAACAAGACUGGCUUCUUUUUUCUUUUCUCAUUCUCUGUACAGUUGCAUUCAUCACCAUCAACCUUUAUUACGGUCCAGAGACCCAACAAAUCAUUACAAAGCAAUACACAAUUCGUACAGCCUACCUCCAGGUUAAACAAGCAUUUUGUUCAGAAUAUAGGGAUCAUUGGUUCUUGCAACCACUGAUCAAAACUUGGCCACUGCUAAUGUUCUAGCGUUUGUCCGGUCUUCCAAUAGGAACCUGACAUAGCGAGCCUCUGAUUUUCCCGGGAAAGGUACCAGCAAGGGUAAUAUCAGUUCAGCCCCGGCUUGCUCAUAUUUUGCACAGUGCAACAGUUGCAUUCAUUUCCCACUCUUUGCAUCCGGACCUUUUACUGCAGAGCAGCCUUUGACCCUUGUCCUCAGCACAAGACAGUGUUCUGCUGCUGGGCAUGCAAAUAGAUCUGAGAGGAGGGUGGGGAUUGGAGAAUUAGCUGCUGAUGUCACAAGAGGGAAAUGUCUCAAGGGAAAGCAAUACUAGUCCCCUCCUAUGCUAUUCCUUGGGGGAAGGGGGUACUGGUUGCAAGUUCUCUAAGCAUCGUCUUUUAGAUGCCCUUCCCUCCUUCAGCUUUCAGGUGUUAGCUUCCUCUGCUUGCAAUGACAAAGGGAUCCCAGAGCAGAAAGUUGGGCAGACAAAUGGGCAUGCAAACAUAUGGGGCAUAAGAAUGGGUCAAUGGUUCGUUUUUGGUUUGUCUGGAUUUCUCAUUUUUUUCAAUCUUCAAUUCACAUUUGUGAUGGGGGGGGAGUAAUAAUGAAAAUUCACCAUUUUAGGGCAAAUUUGUUUUCAUAAUACUGACAAUAACGAACAACAACGCAACUGACAGCAACUGAUUAGCUACGUUGCACAUAGGAAGCCGUCGUACAGACAGUAUUGUAUAUUUCAGUAAACAUUCUGAAAACAAAGAUAAUCUUCUCCUGUAUCCAUCUGUGUUUAUGAAACCUUUCAUUCAUUAGGGCUUGAGAUCCUUGCCCCCCAACUGAUGUGCAAAUAUGAAAAUCUGAACUUCAUAUAUUAGAAGGUUAGAUAAACCAGAAACUGAGAGGAAGUGGAAUUGAGAGAUUUGCCUAGCCUUGCUUUCAUGUCCGUUGUAUUUUGGCUUGCUUGUGGGAGCAAAACACUUAAUAAGAUAGUGGAGCCCCCCCCAAUCUUUUGCUAUUCAUAUCACAGGAGAAAAAGGGUUAAAGAGUCCUUUGCUUGGAACCAGUUGAAAAAGGGACUCUGCCAGAGCCUCACUCAACAUCUACAUGGGGGGGGGGAUGACUUAAAAGAGCCCUUUGUCCAUCUCAGUCUGGAAGAAAGCAACCAAGAUUCAUAAUGGGGCAAGGGACUCUGCCAAGGCCUCCCUUUCUGUACAGACUUCAGGAGAGAAAUGAGCCCUUUGCCAAUAUUGCUCAGCUUAGAAGUGGAUGAAGUGCACAAUAAUGUUCAUGCUCUUGUGAUCAGAAGCUCUUUUGGUGUUCAGAUGAAAAGGCUUUUUGGGGAGCUGGAUAUGGCCUCCAUAUUUCCUCUCCUGCCUCUAAUGGGAAGAGGGGAAAUUACCAAUCUGUGCGCCCUAGCAUGGCCGAUUAAGGAGUUAACAAGCCGUAGAAAGCCACCGCCUUCUAUUUGCCUUGGAUUGGUACCCAUUUAUGUGAAUCAUCUUGUUCAAACAGUAGGCUGAUACUGGAAGAAAAGAGGCCACUCUGUACCAGGCAACAAGAUCUGUUGGAAAGAAAGCAGGCCCUCCUUUGGAAAUGAAGCGAGCUCUGUUCAGAUCUUUGGAAUCGUCAAACAGAACCGCAAUUGAUCCCAGACAAUGUGCCAAAAAAGUUGGGCAGAAGUUUGGCAGUUUCAGAAAGAGAUGAAACUCCCAAACCGUUCCCAGUUAAGCUGCUUUAUUCAAUUAACGGCAGCACCGAAACAACUUCACGCCAACGCAGCAAUGCAGUGAACAAACGCUGGAGUUAUUUUCUUUUUCUUCCUUGCCUGGAUAUCUGAGCUUUCUCUUUCCUCGUUGAGAGGCUUUGGGAAGCAAAGCAGAAACUUAAUGUGCUGGGUUACCUGAGCGAGCCCUUCCCUCCCCCCCCCCCGCAAAAAAAUCCAGGAUUCCAAAAGCAACCAGCUUACAGGUUUUUCCUGUUCAACCCAGGCUUGAACAGGAACCUAACUGAGCUCUGGAACCGGAUCCACUACCAGCUUAGAGGCUGGACCUGGAAAAAGAUCCCUGGAGUGUGUUAACCCUUUGCUUGGCAGUCUAUGCCUCUCUCUCUCUCUUGCUCCUUACACAUCUAAGGGGUAAAAAGAGACAGGGUUGAGAGGUGACAUUCAGUGAGGGAGUAACUCACACAAGGGUAAAAAUAAUGCAAUAAAAGGACCUGUUGUUCAGGAGAAUAUCCAGCUGCCCAUGUGGGUGAGUUGUCAUCCAUUAGCAGGUGUUGUUCAGUUUUCUUAAGUGGGUGCACCACCUGAGAUAUUAAAAUGUGUGAUGCUGCUGCCUCUCAUAGGAGCAUGGGAAGCUGCCUUAUCUUAAGUUAGACCACUGGUCCAUCUAGCUCAAUAUUGUCCACACUGGCUGGCAGCAACUCUCCAGGAUUUCAGAUCAAGAGGCAUUUCCACCUCUACCUGGAUAUGCCAGCGAGGGAAUCUAGGACCUCCUGCAUGCAAAGCAGAUUUCUGCCGAGCUGCUCUGAAACACCACAAGGUCAGAGCUGGGCCAAAUGUCACCACAUUUCAGCCCAAUUUGAAGAAUGGUGUGAAUGAAACUGGGGGACAGGGAGUGAACCCCUGAAGACAUUUUGGGGCUGGAUAAGCCUUUGGCCUGAUCCAGCAGGCUCUUCUAAUGUGCCUUACCUUGACUUCAUUUUUGCGUGGUAGAGAAUUCACCUGCCCAUGUAUUUCGUUUCUUCUUCCUUUUCUCAUCCUCCUCCCCCUCUUCUUUUAAAAAUAACCCACCUUAAGUUCAGCUGCCCCCAUUUCUUCCCUCAUCUUCCAAAAGCCUGGCUUUGAGUGUUUUGUUUUGCCUUAUCUCUCCACCCACAGUCUGGCUAGAUGUGCAAAAUCUCUUCCAGAAACUCACCAACACACACACACACACACACACACACACACACAAACCUACAUAACUUUAAAGCUUGGAACAUUGCUUCACGGAACAAUGCAAUCACAUUAUUUUGUGUGAUUCCUCAUGGGUUGCCUCCUGCUCAGAUGCCUUUGGGGCACACAGUUGCCAUGGCAAACUCUUUGCCUUGACCUUGGCUCCCACAUUCUGCCAGGAAGGGGGGCGGCAGAGACCCCCUUCCCCCUCCCCAUGUCCUCCCUCUGUGGGGAUUCGAUCCAGGUUACUCACAUGAAAGGCAGUGUAGUGUAGUGGUUAAAGGCCAGGGUUCGGAUCCCCUUGGCUGCGAAGCUCUCUCUGGGCGACCUUGGGCCAGUCCCUCGCUCUCAGCCUAACCUAUCUCACAGGGUUGUUGUGUGGAUCAGGCAGAGAUGAGGAGAGCUAUGUUU